rnacentral:rRNA from 1 species
UACGUCGGGGGCUAGCGUUGUCCGGAAUCAUUGGGCGUAAAGAGCGUGUAGGCGGUCCGGUAAGUCCGCUGUGAAAGUCGGGGGCUCAACCCUCGAAUGCCGGUGGAUACUGUCGGGCUAGAGUGCGGAAGAGGCGAGUGGAAUUCCUGGUGUAGCGGUGAAAUGCGCAGAUAUCAGGAGGAACACCUAUUGCGAAGGCAGCUCGCUGGGACGUAACUGACGCUGAGACGCGAAAGCGUGGGGAGCAAACAGG